AGAUUGGAGACUACAUAAGACUUUGACAGAUGGCGGGAAACCCUCAUGAACUGGAUAGAAGCCGGUAGAGGAAUGUCUGCGACUAAGCCGAGGGCCACUGGAUAAGGGUUGUUGAUGGCAAAACAGGUAGAGGAAUGUCUGCGACUAAGCCGAGGGCCACUGGAUAAGGGUUGUUGAUGGCAAAACAGGUUAAAGACUACAUGAGACUUUGACAGAUGGCGGGAAACCCUCAUCCACUGGUAGAGGAAUGUCUGCGACUAAGCCGAGGGCCACUGGAUAAGGGUUGUUGAUGGCAAAACAGGUUAAAGACUACAUGAGACUUUGACAGAUGGCGGGAAACCCUCAUCCACUGGUACGAACCCGGUAGAGGAAUGUCUGCGACUAAGCCGAGGGCCACUGGAUAAGGGUUGUUGAUGGCAAAACAGGUAGAGGAAUGUCUGCGACUAAGCCGAGGGCCACUGGAUAAGGGUUGUUGAUGGCAAAACAGGUUAAAGACUACAUGAGACUUUGACAGAUGGCGGGAAACCCUCAUCCACUGGUACGAACCCGGUAAAUUGAUGGCUGUAAAACAGUGACCGCUGAUUCGCAUCGAGUUCUUUCUUGCAAAACGCAUGACCCCCCCUUUUUUAUUGUCUAAAUCAUUGCGGCUUGGAAUGCUCUUUAAGAAAAGGUAUGGUUAUGGGGGUCUCUAUGCGCAAAAGUUUGACUUUAUUUUUUGUUGAAGUUAUUGCUUUUACAUUGAAUUUGUGUAGGAAAUCUUUUGGUAUAUUGUAACCUAAACUAGCUUUAGGUAAAAAUGAAAUAUCAUCUGCAAGUGCAAAAUAUGACUGGGAAAGCUGAUUUUUGGUCAUUUCUUAACAAAAGAGAAGAAAAUAAGUGCCUUAAAUGCAUGAAUUCAGAUAAUUUGACCUGGAAUAGUUGUUUUUCAAGUUGACCCCCCACCCUGAUAUACCCAAAUAAGGGCUAAAUUGCUUUCCGACUUGAAUUCAAAGGCAUAUUGGUUGACCGUGUAGCGUUAGUGUGCUACAUGAAGUCAGAAUUCAACGCCAGGGACUCCGUGAUCCAGUAACGCAACAAUAGCUUGUGCAUAAAGCAUGAACAUUCAA